AAGAAUCAAUUUUGUACUGUAGGAUACGAGUCACGCAAUCGAGCUCGAGGGCAUCAAUUUCCAUCUAAUUACAAAACCUGCUGUUUGUUUGUAAAACUUGUCUUCAAGGCAUUGCGAUAUUUAUUUAUUGAACCUUUGAAGAAGGCAAAGGAGGUAAGGAGGACGAAGGAGAGGCACACAUGAUCUAUUCUGAUCAUGAAUGAACUGUUGAAGGACGCUGAGAUGUAUCCGAUUCCGCCGCCAGUACGCAAAAGCGUAGACAAAAAGCUUGAAAAAGAGAAAGAAAAGGAAGAAGACAUUGAGCCUAUAGAGGUAAUACUAAUGGCAGCAACGAAUGGAAUUACUGAAAUGGUUAGAAAAAUCCUUGAAACUUAUCCUGUGGCCAUGUAUGAUGUGGAUAAAGACCAAAAGAACAUAGUGCUAUUGACAGUGGAGCAUAAGCAACCUCAUGUA